GGGGAAGUAAAAGUCGUAACAAGGUCUCCGUUGGUGAACCAGCGGAGGGAUCAUUACAGGGUUAUCCAACUCCCAAACCCAUGUGAACUUAUCUCUUUGUUGCCUCGGCGCAAGCUACCCGGGACCUCGCGCCCCGGGGGGCCCGCCGGCGGACAAACCAAACUCUGUUAUCUUCGUUGAUUAUCUGAGUGUCUUAUUUAAUAAGUCAAAACUUUCAACAACGGAUCUCUUGGUUCUGGCAUCGAUGAAGAACGCAGCGAAAUGCGAUAAGUAAUGUGAAUUGCAGAAUUCAGUGAAUCAUCGAAUCUUUGAACGCACAUUGCGCCCAUUAGUAUUCUAGUGGGCAUGCCUGUUCGAGCGUCAUUUCAACCCCUAAGCACAGCUUAUUGUUGGGACUCUACGGCUUCGUAGUUCCCCAAAGACAUUGGCGGAGUGGCAGCAGUCCUCUGAGCGUAGUAAUUCUUUAUCUCGCUUUUGUUAGGCGCUGCCCCCCCGGCCGUAAAACCCCCAAUUUUUUCUGGUUGACCUCGGAUCAGGUAGGAAUACCCGCUGAACUUAAGCAUAUCAAUAAGCGGAGGA
rnacentral:rRNA from 1 species